UACGGAGGGUGCGAGCGUUAAUCGGAAUUACUGGGCGUAAAGCGCGCGUAGGCGGUUCGAUAAGUCGGGUGUGAAAGCCCUGGGCUCAACCUGGGAAUUGCAUUCGAUACUGUCGAGCUAGAGUGUGGUAGAGGGAAGUGGAAUUUCCGGUGUAGCGGUGAAAUGCGUAGAUAUCGGAAGGAACAUCAGUGGCGAAGGCGGCUUCCUGGACCAACACUGACGCUGAGGUGCGAAAGCGUAGGGAGCAAACAGG
rnacentral:rRNA from 1 species